UACAGGGGGUGCAAACGUUGCUCGGAAUCAUUGGGCGUAAAGCGCACGUAGGCGGUUCGUUAUGUCGGAUGUGAAAGCCCUUGGCUUAACCGAGGAAGUGCAUCCGAAACUGGCGAGCUAGAGUACUAAAGAGGAUCGCGGAAUUCCCGGUGUAGAGGUGAAAUUCGUAGAUAUCGGGAGGAACACCGGUGGCGAAGGCGGCGAUCUGGGUAGAUACUGACGCUGAGGUGCGAAAGCGAUGGGGAGCAAACAGGGAUUAAGA
rnacentral:rRNA from 1 species